rnacentral:rRNA from 1 species
AUUUUCAGCGGUGGAUGUCUUGGCUCGCGCAACGAUGAAGGACGCAGUGAAAUGCGAAACGCAAUGUGAAUUGCAGAAUUCAGGGAAUCAUCAGAUUUCUGAACGCAAAUGGCACCUU